CCCCAUACAAGCCACUUAGCAUUCAUAACAUAAGAAAUAGAACAAUGAGGUAAAGAAAUACAACAUUUCAAGUCCAAAGUUUUAUAAAACUAAAACGGAAGUCUAAACACUUUGUCUCAAUAACCAUCUAGUACAAUAGAAUGAAAUUGGGCAUGGCCUAUACAUCAUGUUCAAAACUGAAAGUAAAGAAGAAAACUAGAAACAACGAAAAUCCGUCCUCGAAGCAUGAGGACUCACCAAAGCUCAGAAUCUCUCCUGUCAAUCUCUAGCCAUGAAACUGAGAACCCUGAUUGUCAGACCCUACAUUUGGGGAAAUGUAGGCAAGAGUAUGUGUUAGUACAAAAUAAUGUACCAAGUAUGAUAGCCAUGCAUAAAACAUUUAAAUCAUGCUAAAAAAGAGAUAUUUCCAUAAAUAUGCAAUGAUCAAGCUAAAACAUGUAUUGUGACACCCCGGAAACUAGUAGGCUAAACUAGAGCUAAAACGUGAGGGUUAGAGUCAUGGAAGUGGGCAAGGGACAAAGGAGAGGACUAGGGCAGUCCACUCUCCCCUAGACACUGCCCAAGCAACUAUGACCACCACUACGGCUCGUGGUGAGGACCACGCCACGUGGUGUGGACCACGCCACGUGGUGUGGCUCGUGGUAGACUAGGCAAUAGCCUUGGCAAGGCUGCCCAAAAAUAGCCCCUCCACACAAGGCCCUUUAUGGCUCGUGGUGAGGACCACAGAUCGUGAUGCCACUCGUGGAAGUGAGGCAAUGUGCCUCCAAGCUUGCCCCAAAAGAGGACGCUCCCCACGAGCCACUUGACGGCUUGUGAAGGCCACAAUGGGUCGUGGGAGGGGUCGUGGUCUUUACUUGGCCAUGAAGGGGGCAAGGUGUGGCCAUCCUAGCCACUUCCUCAAGGCCCACAGAGGGAACCACGGCUCAUGGGACCUCAUGUGGUCCCUAGGCAGGUGACUUUUAGUUGAAGGUUAAAUGGUCUUUUCCGGUUUCAAUCUAACUUAAGUGAGGUCGUUUUUCCUAAGGUUAGGACAACUAUAUAAGCCUUUUUAACUCUAAAACUCACCCAAUUAAGUCAUAUUUUCCAAAACCCAAAACAUUUCCCCAAAGUUCAUCCUCUAAAAAUUCUCUCUAGAAAGCUUGAAGAAGAAGGAGAUCCAAGAUAGGGUUCAAGAGCAAGCUUUUACACAUCAAUUUAUUUGUUAUUUUUUGUUAAUGUAUGGUAGUUUUCAUCCAUGGAUAGAUUUCAUCCAUGGAGUCCUCUCAAAAUCACCAAUUUCAAAAAGAUAGAAAUCCUCAAUUGUUAGGGUUUGAUUCCAAAGUAAUGGGUUCCUUUCCAACUUGAUUCUAAUGGUUGAAUUAUGUUGUAUUAAGCAUGAAUUGAUGAUUUUCUAUGAUUUUUUAUGAUGUAUCCCCAAGAACCCAUGAAAUUCCCAUAUUUCUCAAUUGUGAUCUUAUGAUGUGGGUCUUUGUUGAUGAAAGAGGAAUGUUAUGAAAUUAUGCAUGUAGUGAUUAAAUAACAUUAAUUAUAAUCAAAUCCAUAUCUAGUGCUUGAAUUCUAGAUGUGUUGAUUCAAAGCAAGCUUUGAAUCCAUGUCUAAUGCUUGAAUUCUAGAUGUGUUGAUUGAUUUGAACCUUGAAAGGGCAAAGUAUGAGAUCAUGCAUGCUUUAUGACAUUUAUGUAAAUGCUUUAAGAACACUUUGAGAGUGAAGUGUCCAUGAUUCUGAUAUUGUUGUUGUGUUGUUGAAAGGAUAUUCUCAUAUACACACAUAUGCAUGAACAUGAUGUGAAAAGUUUUCUCACAUAAUGAAGAUUCUAAGGUUGAAAGGCUUUCUCACCUAAUUGAAUCUAAUAUUUACAUGUUGACAUGGAUGGUGAAAGGUUUUCUCAUGCAUGAUCUAAGAGCUAUCCUAAUGAACUAAGUUUGAUUUAUUGUCAAGGACAUCCUCCCAUGAAACAUGAAUCAAGUUAGGACUUAAUAAGUACUCCGUGGGAUUAAUACUUAGCACUAAGUAGAUAUUGAUUUGAGAUGGAAGCUCUCACGUUAGUUGAGGCCGGGUUUCUAGAAGCAAUCUCUUGAGAUGGAAGCCCUCACGUUAGUUGAUGCCGGGUUUCUAGUAGCAAUCUCCUUAUUGCAUAAAUUACAUGCCCCAUAGGAUAUUUAGCUAGUGGAUCCACCUAAGCUAACAAACCAUGGUUCUGCCUUAGGCAAGUAGGACAACCCUUUUUGGUGUGGGUAACUCCGGGUGAUCAUGUUAUAGCUCACAUGGUAUCAUGUUGGUUAAGGCUUAUUCCCACAACAAGAACAUGAAUAAUGAACUAUAGUUACUCAAGAAGCUUUGUAUAUGAGUUCAAAUGUUUUAAUGAUGAUGAUGACUUAUGUUACCUAUGUUUUAUGACUUAUGAUUUCUAAUCUCUUAUCCAUGUUUAAAUUGGUAAAUUGCAUGUUUUCAAAUGAAAUGUCACUUUUUGCAUGUUUUAAAUGUUUUUAUGCAUAGCUACCAUACUUAGUGUAUUUUUGUGCUAACACCUACUUUUGCUUACAUUUUUCCCAAGUGUAGGGUCCGGCACUCGAGGUGAUCAUUCUUAUGGCUAGAGCUUGAAUUUUAUUGUGUUCCCGAGCUUGGUGAAUCCUCAUGGUUCGAGGAUGGAUUUUCAUAUGUCUAGAUUCGUUCAUGUACUUUCCCUUUUGAACAUGUUGUAUGGGCUAUGCCUUAUUUCAUUCACUAUUGUAAUAGAUGGCUAUGUUGAGGCAAACUGUCUAGACUUCCGCUUGCUUUUAUGAAAAACAUUUUAGACUUGAAAUGUGUUUUUACUCUUAUUGUUCUAUUGCUUAUGUUAUGAUAACUAAGUGGCUUGCAUGGAGUCCUUUAUGGUUCUAUACGCCAUGUUACAUCUAGGGGGUACCCUUGGGUCGUGACAAACUUAGUAUCAGAGCACAAUGUUUAGAAUGAUUUUAGGAAGAUGUCUCAUGAGCCACGUCUAGUAUAGUCUUGUUCAUGAGUGUGAAGCGCGCCACAUUUAUGAAUGAGAAGCUACAAGAUGUUUAGGAAAUUCCACUUCUCUCAUUACUCUUAAGUCGUGUGAUGGAGUUUAACUCUAUUAGGUCUUUCUCCUAAUCCUUAUCCGUUGGUCUACAUGAUAUGACUACUAGAAGGGCUUUCGCAAGAGGGAAUGAAGAAGACAAUGUGAAUCAAGGAGCUCCUCCUCAAGCUCCGAUUGAUCCGUUGGCCAAACAAGUAACAAAUGUGGAGUUUAGGGCGGCUUUUCAAGUAUUGGCUCAAGCCGUGACGGCCCAAGCCAAUAGAGAGGUUGUAGCUCCCGUGAACCUUAAAGUGAAUUCGGUGGCUUCAAGAGUGAGGGACUUAGCAAGGAUGAACCCUAUGGAAUUUUAUGGCUUCAAAGUGGAGAAAGACCCUCAAGAGUUUAUCGAUUCUAUAAGGUACUUGCUAUUAUGGGGGUGACUCUGGUAGAGAAGGCUGAGUUAGCCACUUACCAAUUGAAAGGUAUUGCUUAAGUGUGGUAUAAUCAAUGGAAGGAGGGGAGGCCGGUAGGAGCGGGUCCCGUAGAGUGGGAAGUGUUUAAAUCAACAUUUCUUGAAAGGUUAUUUCAACUUGAAUUGAGGGAAGCUAAGAUGUAAGAGUUCAUUAACAUUCAUCAAGGAAGUAUGAGUGUAAGGGAGUAUGCUCUAAAGUUCACCCAACUAUCCAAGUACGCUUCAACUAUGGUGGUGGAUUUAAGGGCAAAGAUGAAUAAAUUUGUGAUGUGAGUGUCCGACAUAGUAGUCAAAGAAUUUCGUACGUCAAUGCUUGUACAAGAUAUGGAUAUUUCACGUCUCAUGGUGCAUGCACAACAAAUUGAGGAAGAUAAACUUAAAGAACAGAAUAGGGAGGUAAAAAGGGCUAGGACCAAUGAUGGGAACUUCUCCAAUACAAGGUCCGCUAGACAAGGUCGACCUAGGUUUAAACAAAGAUUUUCCAGUCAAGGUUUCUCCAACGCUCCUCCAAGGGUGAACAAGGAUAGGGUGUCUAACCCUAAACCUCAAGGAGGUAAUGGUAGUGGAUCUUUUGUGGCUAGGCCUACUCGUGUGAAGUGUGGGAAGAAAAAUGAUGGUAAGUGCCUAGCCGGCACAGAUGGUUGUUUUGGUUGUGGAAAGAGUUGGCACAAAAUGAGGGAUUGUCCGGUGCUCAUGGCUAAGAGAAGAAAGGGAAAGCAAGCUCUUCCUAGUGGUUCAAACUCCAAUGCUCCCAAGCAAAACCGCUUCUAUUCUCUCCAAAACCGAGGCAAACAAGAGAAUUCUCCGGACGUGGUCACCAGUUUAUUAAUUUUUUUCCAUAGAGAUGUGUAUGCCUUGUUAGACCCCGGUGCUACUUUGUCUUUUGUGACGCCAUAUGUGGCAACGAGAUUUGAUGUGCUCCCUGAUAUGUUGUUAGAAUCUUUUUCUGUCUCUAUCCCUAUUGGUGACUCUGUGGUGGCUAAGAGGGUCUAUAGAAGAUGUCUCGUUUCCCUAUCCCAUAGAGUUACCCUUGUUUAUUUGGUAGAGCUUGACAUGUUAGAUUUCGAUGUUAUUCUUGGUAUGGAUUGGCUACACUCUUGUUAUGUUUCUGUUGACUAUAGAACUCGUGUAGUCAAGUUCCAGUUCCUGAAUGAGCCUAUCAUUGAGUGAAAGGGGGGAAAUUCUAUGCCUAAGGGUCAGUUCGUCUUGUGUCUUAAGGCUAGAAAGAUGAUCUCUAAGGGUUGCAUUUACCAUCUUGUUAGGGUGAGGGAUGUAGAUUCCGAAACCCCUACUCUUGAGUCGGUCGUCGUUGUGAAUGAAUUUCCAGAAGUGUUCCUCGAUGAUCUACUCGGUAUUCCUCCCGAGCGGGAAAUAAACUUCGGUAUUGAACUUCUCCCAUAUACGCAACUUAUCUCAAUUCCUCCUUAGAGAAUGGCCCCGACUGAGUUAAAGAAGUUGAAAGACUUGUUGGAUAAGGGCUUCAUCCGACCAAGCAUCUCACCAUGGGGCUCUCCCGUGUUGUUUGUUAGAAAGAAAGAUGGAUCUCUUCAUAUGUGCAUCUAUUAUCGUCAGUUGAACAAAGUGACCAUUAAGAACAAGUAUCCUCUUCAAGGAUAGAUAAUUUGUUUGACAAACUACAAGGGGAAAGUUACCUCUCAAAAAUUGACCUUAGGUCGGGUUAUCACCAAUUAAGGGUGAGAGGUGAGAAUAUUCCAAAGACGGCCUUCAGGACCCGGUAUGGUCAUUAUGAAUUCUUGGUAAUGUCAUUUGGGUUGACUAAUUCCCCGACGAAGUUUAUGGACCUAAUGAAUAGAGUGUUUAGGCAAUACCUAGACAUGUUUGUGAUUGUGUUCAUUGACGACAUUUUGAUCUAUUCAAAGAGUUAGAAUGAUCAUGUUGAUCAUUUGAGAAUUGUGUUACAAGUUCUUAAGGACCACCAACUUUUUGCAAAGUUUAGCAAGUGUGAAUUUUGGUUAAGGUCUGUUGCUUUCCUUGGGCAUAUUGUGUCAAGUAGGGGUAUUGAGGUAGAUCCUAAGAAGAUGGAUGCGGUCAAGAGUUGGCCAAGAUCUCUAACCCCUUUGGACAUUAGAAACUUCUUGGGUUUGGCCGGUUAUUAUAGAAGGUUUGUUGAGGGGUUUUCUUCUAUGGCGUCUCCUUUGACGACUUUGACUCAAACGAAGGCUAAGUUCAUGUGGUCGGAAGCUUGUGAGAAAGGUUUCCAAGAGUUGAAAGAUAGACUUACUUCCGCUCUGGUGUUGACUUUACCGGAAGGUACAUAUGGUUUUAUGGUGUAUUGUGAUGCCUCUAGAAUUGGGUUGGGAUAUGUGUUUAUGCAAAAUGGUAAAGUGACUGUCUAUGCUUCAAGGCAACUUAAAGUCCAUAAGAAGAAUUAUCCUACCCGUGACCUUGAGUUGGCGGCGGUUGUUUUUGCCUUAACGAUUUAGAGGCAUUAGAUAUAUGGGGUUCAUGUUGAUGUCUUUACCAAUCACAAGAUCUUACAAUACAUGUUUAGUCAAAAGGACUUGAAUCUUCACCAAAGAAGGUGGCUUGAAUUAUUGAGAGAUUAUGACAUGAGUGUUAUUUAUCACCCCGGUAAGGCAAAUGUGGUAGCGGAUGCUCUUAGUAGAUUGUAUAUGGGUAGUGUUGCUCUUAUUGAAGAUGAUAAGAAAGAAUUGGUUCGAGCUAUUCACAGGUUGGCCUGAUUAGGUGUUCAAUUAGUGGACUACACCAAGGGUGGUGUCAUGGUUCACAAUGGGUCUGAAUCGUCUUUUGUGGCGGAUGUGAAAUCUAAGCAAGGUCUAGAUCCCAAUUUGGUUGAAUUGAAAGAGACGGUACUUAAGAAAUCCAUUGAGGCUUUCUCCCAAGGGGGAGAUGGUGUACUUAGAUACCAAGAUCGGUUGUGUGUUCCUAAUAUUGAUGACUUCAGAGAGCAAAUCUUGUCGGAAGCCCAUAGAUCUUGGUAUUCCAUUCACCCGGGAGCCACCAAGAUGUACCGUGACUUGCGGGAGGUCUAUUGGUGGAAUGGGAUGAAGAAAGAUAUUGCGGAAUUUGUGGUUAAGUGUCCUAAUUGUCAACAAGUUAAGGUUGAGCAUCAAAGACCGGGAGGGUUAUCCCAAGAUAUCGGUAUUCCUACUUGGAAGUGGGAAGAGGUGAACAUAGACUUUAUUAUGGGUUUGCCUCGCACCCGGAGACAACAUGACUCUAUUUGGGUUAUUGUAGAUCGGAUGACAAAAUUGGCUCACUUUAUUCCCCUCAAGGUUUCCUUUUCGGCGGAGGACUAUACCAAAUUGUAUAUAAGAGAAAUGGUGAAGUUGCAUGGAGUGCCUCUAUCCAUUAUUUCCGAUCGUGGCCCUCAAUUCACUUCUCACUUUUGGAGGUCAUUUCAAAAGGGCUUGGCACCAAGGUUAAGCUUAGAACAACUUUUCAUCCCCAAACCAAUGGGCAAGAGGAGCGUACCAUCCAAAUGUUGGACGAUAUGUUAAGGGCAUGUGUAAUUGAUUUUAAGGGUAUUUGGGAUGACCAUUUGCCAUUGAUAGAGUUUGCCUACAAUAAUAUCCAUCAUUCAAGUAUCGGUAUGGCUCCAUUUGAGGCCUUGUAUGGUAGGAGAUGUAGGUCUCCCGUUGGUUGGUUUGAGGUGGGUGAAGUUUCCCUAAUAGGUCCCGAAUUGGUCAAUGGGGCCAUUGAGAAAGUCUGACUCAUUAGAGAGUGGUUGAGAACGGCUCAAAGUCGGCAAAAGUCUUAUGCCGAUGUGAGGAGAAGAGAUCUAGAAUUUUAGGUUAACGAUUGGGUCUAUUUAAAAUUUCACCUAUGAAGAGUGUGAUGAGAUUUGGUAAGAAGGGGAAACUUAGUCUCCGGUAUGUAGGCCCAUACCAAAUUUUGAGACUUGUUGGUAAAGUUGCCUAUGAGUUAGAUUUGCCAAAUGAGUUGACUUCGAUGCAUUCUGUAUUCUAUGUCUCUAUGCUUAAGAAGUGUGUUCGAGAUCCGACAUCCAUUAUUCCCUUAGAAGGAUUGGGAGUCGAUGAAAAUUUUAUCAUAUGAGGAAGUUCAGGUAGAGAUUCUAGACCGGCAAGUUAAGAGAUUGAGAAAUAAGGAAAUAGCUUCCGUGAAAUUUUUAUGGAGGAAUCAACUAGUUGAGGGUGAUACUUGGGAGGCUGAGGCCGAUAUGAAGUCCCGCUAUCCUCAUCUUUUUCCUUCUACUCCUAUUCUAGCUAGAGGUAAGUAGUUCCUCUUGAGUUGUCCUUAUUUUGGGAGUCAUGUGUGUUAUAUGAGUUUUCCAUGAUUUCCCUAUGUCAUUCAUGUUCAUGAGAAAUUUAUGUUUAGAAAUAAAAUGAGUUUAUAUGAUUGAUUUUCCUCAUGUUGUUGAGUAUUGAGUAUGAAUUGCCUAUUGACUUCAUCAGAUGAAUUGAUGAACAUGCUUUAAAUUGUGUUUUUUGAGAACAAAUUGCAUAAAAGGCUCCAUGAGAUUGUGUUGAGCAUGUUUUUAGCUUGGAGAAGGUAAUUCCUCCUAAGAACAUGAGAAGUGUUGAAAUUUCAUGCAUAAUGGGUUGUUAGAUGUAGUUCCUACUUCCUUGUGAUGCAUUGAGUAUGUUUGAGUGUAGAGUUGAUGUUUCCUCCUUCAUUUUGUGCAUUGUUAUGAUGUUGCAUGUAUGAUGGGAUGCUAGUCUUGAGUCUUUACUUCCGUAAGGUGUCUAAAGCGUCAUUUGAGGACGAAUGUUCCCAAGGGGGAGAUAUUGUGACACCCCGGAAACUAGUAGGCUAAACUAGAGCUAAAAUGUGAGGGUUAGAGUCAUAGAAGUGGGCAAGGGCCAAGGGAGAGGACUAGGGCAGUCCACUCUCCCCUAGACACUACCCAAGCAACCAUGACCACCACCAUGGCUUGUGGUGAGGACCACGACACGUGGUGUGGCUCGUGGUAGGCUAGGCAAUAACCUUGACAAGGCUGCGCAAAAAUAUCCCCUCCAGACGAGGACCUUGAUGGCUAAUGGUGGUCACCACGGAUCGUGGUCCCACUCGUGGAGGUGAGGUAGUGUGCCUCCAAGGAUGCCCCAAAAAAGGACCCUCCCUACGAGCCACUUGACGGCUCGCGAAGGCCACCAAGGGCCAUAAGAGGGGUCCUGGUCUUUACUUGGCCAUGAAGGGGGCAAGGUGUGGCCACC
rnacentral:lncRNA from 1 species